rnacentral:misc_RNA from 1 species
GAUGAAGAACGCAGCGAAAUGCGAUAAGUAAUGUGUAUUGCAGAAUUCAGUGAAUCAUCGAAUCUUUGAACGCACAUUGCGCCCGCCAGUAUUCUGGCGAGCAUGCCUGUUCGAGCGUCAUUUCAACCAUCAAGCCCCAGGCUUGUGUUGGAGCCCUGCGGCUGCCGCAGCCUCCCAAAACCAGUGGCGGGCUCGCUAUCACACCGAGUGCAGUAGUUUACUCUUCGCUCAGGGCGUGUGGCGGGUGCUAGCCGUGAAACCCCCAACUUCUCAAGGUUGACCUCGGAUCAGGUAGGAAUACCCGCUGAACUUAAGCAUAUCAAUAAGCGGAGGA